rnacentral:rRNA from 1 species
UACGAAGGGGGCUAGCGUUGCUCGGAAUCACUGGGCUUAAAGGGUGCGUAGGCGGCGCUGAAAGUUGGGUGUGAAAUCCCUCGGCUCAACCGAGGAACUGCGCCCAAAACUACAGUGCUCGAGGGAGAUAGAGGUGAGCGGAACUUAGGGUGGAGCGGUGAAAUGCGUUGAUAUCCUAAGGAACGCCAGGGGCGAAAGCGGCUCACUGGAUCUCUUCUGACGCUGAGGCACGAAAGCUAGGGUAGCGAACGGG